CACGUUUAUUCUGCGUGGCGUACGACACGAGACGACAAUUCUCACCUCGUCGUCACACGACUCUUGUCACGCGAUUCUGGUUGUCGUCUCGAGUGAGGUGAGAGCUUCAUUUUCGAUGUGAGAAAGAGAAUGAACCAAAACAAAUGCGAUGUUCAUUCGCAGAUCUGUCAACCGGGAAGUGUUUCACGAUUACGUUCGAAUUAGAGCGUACUUAAUGAACAUCAACAAUAAUAUUUAAUUCUUUUAACAAAUAUUUCCAUUUUUAUUCAAUUAAAUCUGUAUUAAACUAUCAGAAAUCUUCAAUCAAAAUUACUUCUGUGUAAUAUGCAAAAAUGUUAUUAAGUUUUAGAAGGUUUACUUGAUUUUUUCUAUGCCGCAGUAUAUUUUUAUGUGUCGCCCUGAUUCCAACAACGGACGGUGUUUGUUUUCAGUCUUUUUUUGCAAGCGCAACACGGUGGUUGCGUUGGAUCUAGCUUUGGAUAUUUCCCCCGGAACGGAAUUCGGUAACAUUUUUCCUCCGGUUGAGUGGCAAUAGCGUAAAGUUCUUGAAUGAUCAACAUUUUCAAGAUGGAAUUGCAGAGUGCUAUACUCUGGUUGAAGGUCCGAAAGAUUGCCGAGAAAAGUCGGAACGGUAUGAAGGAUGCAGAUACCUGUUUUGCCGUCAGAGUUGAUGCUGCCCCGAAAGCAGGACGCGCUUUUAGAUUUGCAGCGGUAAAGUACAGCAAGGCCAUAUUGUGGAUGUGAUAGAGUUGCGUUUUAGCCGUUUUGGCUCGGAAUCGGUAGUAGAGAUGAGCAUGGACAAGAUUUCCGGACUGAUGCGGAGCUGCUGUGGAGAUGAUACUGAUGAUUUAAGAAGACAAGUGUUUUUUACGAAUAACCUGAAGGUUCUGAAUUUGAAGAAUGUUUGUGAAUAGGCAUUUCUUAUUUCUGAAUAAAAUGUUACGUCGCUUCUUGA